UCAGGUGAAGGAGCCGUAACAAUAAACGGAACAAUCUGCAGAUGAUCGCUGCCAUGCAGAUGCCUUGUACUGUACCUUCUGAAAGCACACAUCUACGCACAACAAGAGGCAGCAUCCUUAACGGCAGUCCUCACUGCAGCAUCCAUAAAGGCAGACAGUCCUCAUCCCAGCAUCCGAACUCUCAGGCAUCCAUUACUUCAGGCCUCAUACCAGCAUCCAUCAAGGCAGA